GCGAAUUUUAAUACAACUUUCAACAACGGAUCUCUUGGCUCUCGCAUCGAUGAAGAACGCAGCGAAAUGCGAUAAGUAAUGUGAAUUGCAGAAUUCAGUGAAUCAUCGAAUCUUU
rnacentral:rRNA from 1 species